AAAAGGCCUGGCGCCGGAUUCCUAGAGAGGAGGGCGGGCGCAGGUCCCUCGCUGGUCUCUUCCGGCUCGGCUCUCUCUCCUCCCGGGAGCCUCGGAGGGCGAGUCUUUCUUCCCCCGGGGGAGGGGGAGCCGGUCCCGGGGCCGCAGCCGGGGUGCGCGGGGACCCCCAGGGCAGGAGGGAGCUGAGCAUCGCGGCUCUUCCUCGGGGUCCGGGGGAAACGGGCGUGCAAAGGACGAGAGACAAAGCAGAUGAUUCACAGACGGGGAAGCCAGGCAGAAGCAUUUGGACAUAAAUAUCUGGGCAAAAAAUGAACACCUGAGCCCUGCAAUCCGUAGAGAAAGACGGUCGGAAGAAAAGGAAGCGCGUCUUCCUGCGGUGAAGUAUGGAUCUCCCUCCCGCGGGAGGCAGGCAGGGCCUCCGAGCUGGCAAGAAGGACGGGUUGUUAGCCCCCGGGGGUGGGACGGGGAACCUCGCCUGGCAGCUCUCCGCCCUCACAAGACUCCCACAAUCAGGGCCGGAAGGUAAAUGCAGGCAUGCGAUAUAACAGUCCCGCACAUCUGCAGCAGGAGGAUGGAAAGUCCCAACAUUCCGAACUAACCCCGUUCCCCGGGAUUCUUUGGAAGCCAUGGCUCUUUCACGGGGUCUGAUUCUGCUUUGAAGAUCAACCAGAUUGAGCCAAGUACUGAUGAUGUGUGUGUUUUCUUCUGUAACCUCAAGGGGCAACAAAACCUCUGCAAAUUCCAGCAGGCAAGUUCCCCACUUUCUUAAGCGCUGUCCCUUGGCUCCACCCCCACGUGCUUUGAACUUACCCCCGUCAUCCUCAGGGGGUUGGCCAGGACUUGUUAGUGCUUCUAAUUGGGACAGACAGAACUUGGCAGAAGAAAAAGGGAUCUCCGCGAGGCUUCAUGAGAGCACAAAUGGAUGAGCAAGACUCAGCUGACCCUGAAGCAGGAAGAGGCCAUGCUAUCAAAACUGGGAGCAGUGGGAGUUUCUGGGGAAACUCGCUGCAGAAGGUCCUGGGUGAGGAGGACACCCUCUGCUCAGAGGUGCAGAGCCAGCAGUUCAGGCAGCUCUGUUCCCUGGAGACUGAAGGACCCCGAGAAGUUUGCAACCAAUUUUACCGUCUUGAUGGUCAGUGGCUGAAGCCAGAAAGGCAUACAAAAGUUCAGAUGCUGGACCUGGUGAUCAUGGAGCAGUUCCUGGCUGUCCUUCCACUAGAGAUGGAG